rnacentral:tRNA from 2 species
GCUCUCGUGGAGCAGUCCGGAGUGCUCGCUACCGUGACAUGGUAGAGGCCGAUGGUUCGAAUCCAUCCGAGAGCA